UGGGGAAUAUUGCACAAUGGGCGCAAGCCUGAUGCAGCCAUGCCGCGUGUAUGAAGAAGGCCUUCGGGUUGUAAAGUACUUUCAGCGGGGAGGAAGGGAGUAAAGUUAAUACCUUUACUCAUUGACGUUACCCGCAGAAGAAGCACCGGCUAACUCCGUGCCAGCAGCCGCGGUAAUACGGAGGGUGCAAGCAUUAAUCGGAAUUACUGGGCGUAAAGCGCACGCAGGCGGUUUGUUAAGUCAGAUGUGAAAUCCCCGGGCUCAACCAGGGAACUGCAUCGGAUACUGGCAAGCGUGAGUCUCGUAGAGGGGGGUAGAAUUCCAGGUGUAGCGGUGAAAUGCGUAGAGAUCUGGAGGAAUACCGGUGGCGAAGGCGGCCCCCUGGACGAAGACUGACGCUCAGGUGCGAAAGCGUGGGGAGCGAACAGG
rnacentral:rRNA from 1 species